GCCGGGCAUGGUGGCGCAUGCCUGUAAUCCCAGCUAUUCGGGAGGCUGAGGCAGGAGAAUCGCUUGAACCCGGGAGGUAGAGGUUGCAGUGAGCCGAGAUCACACCAUUGCACUCCAGCCCGGGUGACAGUGCGAGACUCCGUCUCAA
rnacentral:SRP_RNA from 1 species